UACGUAGGGUGCGAGCGUUGUCCGGAAUUAUUGGGCGUAAAGAGCUCGUAGGCGGUGUGUCACGUCGGCCGUGAAAACCUGCAGCUUAACUGUGGGCGUGCGGUCGAUACGGGCAUCACUGGAGUUCGGCAGGGGAGACUGGAAUUCCUGGUGUAGCGGUGAAAUGCGCAGAUAUCAGGAGGAACACCGGUGGCGAAGGCGGAUCUCUGGGCCUUGCCUGACGCUGGGGCGCGAAAGCUAGGGGAGCGAACAGG
rnacentral:rRNA from 1 species